UGCGAAUACCGGAGAAUGUUAUCACGGGAGACACACGGCGGGUGCUAACGUCCGUCGUGAAGAGGGAAACAACCCAGACCGCCAGCUAAGGUCCCAAAGUCAUGGUUAAGUGGGAAACGAUGUGGGAAGGCCCAGACAGCCAGGAUGUUGGCUUAGAAGCAGCCAUCAUUUAAAGAAAGCGUAAUAGCUCACUGGUCGAGUCGGCCUGCGCGGAAGAUGUAACGGGGCUAAACCAUGCACCGAAGCUGCGGCAGCGACGCUGAUGCGUUGUUGGGUAGGGGAGCGUUCUGUAAGCCUGUGAAGGUGUACUGUGAGGUAUGCUGGAGGUAUCAGAAGUGCGAAUGCUGACAUAAGUAACGAUAAAGCGGGUGAAAAGCCCGCUCGCCGGAAGACCAAGGGUUCCUGUCCAACGUUAAUCGGGGCAGGGUGAGUCGACCCCUAAGGCGAGGCCGAAAGGCGUAGUCGAUGGGAAACAGGUUAAUAUUCCUGUACUUGGUGUUACUGCGAAGGGGGGACGGAGAAGGCUAUGUUGGCCGGGCGACGGUUGUCCCGGUUUAAGCGUGUAGGCUGGUUUUCCAGGCAAAUCCGGAAAACUAAGGCUGAGGCGUGAUGACGAGGCACUACGGUGCUGAAGCAACAAAUGCCCUGCUUCCAGGAAAAGCCUCUAAGCAUCAGGUAACAUCAAAUCGUACCCCAAACCGACACAGGUGGUCAGGUAGAGAAUACCAAGGCGCUUGAGAGAACUCGGGUGAAGGAACUAGGCAAAAUGGUGCCGUAACUUCGGGAGAAGGCACGCUGAUAUGUAGGUGAAGCGACUUGCUCGUGGAGCUGAAAUCAGUCGAAGAUACCAGCUGGCUGCAACUGUUUAUUAAAAACACAGCACUGUGCAAACACGAAAGUGGACGUAUACGGUGUGACGCCUGCCCGGUGCCGGAAGGUUAAUUGAUGGGGUCAGCGCAAGCGAAGCUCUUGAUCGAAGCCCCGGUAAACGGCGGCCGUAACUAUAACGGUCCUAAGGUAGCGAAAUUCCUUGUCGGGUAAGUUCCGACCUGCACGAAUGGCGUAAUGAUGGCCAGGCUGUCUCCACCCGAGACUCAGUGAAAUUGAACUCGCUGUGAAGAUGCAGUGUACCCGCGGCAAGACGGAAAGACCCCGUGAACCUUUACUAUAGCUUGACACUGAACAUUGAGCCUUGAUGUGUAGGAUAGGUGGGAGGCUUUGAAGUGUGGACGCCAGUCUGCAUGGAGCCGACCUUGAAAUACCACCCUUUAAUGUUUGAUGUUCUAACGUUGACCCGUGAUCCGGGUUGCGGACAGUGUCUGGUGGGUAGUUUGACUGGGGCGGUCUCCUCCUAAAGAGUAACGGAGGAGCACGAAGGUUGGCUAAUCCUGGUCGGACAUCAGGAGGUUAGUGCAAUGGCAUAAGCCAGCUUGACUGCGAGCGUGACGGCGCGAGCAGGUGCGAAAGCAGGUCAUAGUGAUCCGGUGGUUCUGAAUGGAAGGGCCAUCGCUCAACGGAUAAAAGGUACUCCGGGGAUAACAGGCUGAUACCGCCCAAGAGUUCAUAUCGACGGCGGUGUUUGGCACCUCGAUGUCGGCUCAUCACAUC
rnacentral:rRNA from 1 species